AUGAACGCUGGCGGCGUGCCUAAUACAUGCAAGUCGAGCGAACGGACGAGAAGCUUGCUUUUCUGAUGUUAGCGGCGGACGGGUGAGUAACACGUGGAUAACCUACCUAUAAGACUGGGAUAACUUCGGGAAACCGGAGCUAAUACCGGAUAAUAUUUUGAACCGCAUGGUUCAAAAGUGAAAGACGGUCUUGCUGUCACUUAUAGAUGGAUCCGCGCUGCAUUAGCUAGUUGGUAAGGUAACGGCUUACCAAGGCAACGAUGCAUAGCCGACCUGAGAGGGUGAUCGGCCACACUGGAACUGAGACACGGUCCAGACUCCUACGGGAGGCAGCAGUAGGGAAUCUUCCGCAAUGGGCGAAAGCCUGACGGAGCAACGCCGCGUGAGUGAUGAAGGUCUUCGUAUCGUAAAACUCUGUUAUUAGGGAAGAACAUAUGUGUAAGUAACUGUGCACAUCUUGACGGUACCUAAUCAGAAAGCCACGGCUAACUACGUG
rnacentral:rRNA from 1 species